rnacentral:hammerhead_ribozyme from 1 species
AUCCAUCUGACGAGCCCCAAAUAGGACAGAAUGCACGUCCUGGAU